AUCCAAGGUGAUUCCCUCUCCAAGGGGGACAUCCAGUGCCCCUCUCAGGAAGUAGCAACUUGGAAUAGAAUAGUCCAGGAGUUCCAGGACCAGCCUGGCCAAUAUGG
ensembl:snoRNA